GAAUGAGGAGUAUCUGUAUGUGCUGGUAUGAAAAGAUUUCUGAGAUAACCGCAUUUUGCACUGAAGGGGCCAGCAUGAUUCCUGUGGUGGUCCAGUUUCAUGGGGGGCCAAUCAUUCACUUGUUUCACAAAUUAGCACCUCCCUAACAUAUGCAAAGCAUUAGGUAUGGUAGAUUUAUCCCCCACCUUCAUGAUCUCCCAAAUUCCAGGUCCUCUGCCUUCCCUCUGCUGCACUUAUCCACUCUAGGACAUGGGAUAGAGUAGGAAGUUUCUCUGAGAAAUCCUUUUCCUGCUACCUAGGACUCAAGGGCAAUGAUGAUCCAAGUGUACCCUACUGAAGACCUCAGUGCCCAUGAGAGGAUCUGACAGGCAGUCAUCUCCACGAUGCCCCAGCUGUGGGGGGCAACCAAGAAGAAGACAGCCUUUCCCUUGAGUUCCAGCUCAGUUCAGAUGAGAUUGGGACACUCUGUGACAGCCAAGCUUAUGCAUUACUCACUUUCUGCACAGGUUUGGAAAUUCAGACUCAGAGAGAACAGUGCCAAAGGUUACAGAUAUUGUGGAAUUCAUCCAGCAACUCUGACUGCGUCUAGCUAUGUCCAGUGGGAGUUUUUCAGUGGCAAGGCUUUAACAUUAAAAACGUGUUUUACUUUCAUUGCACAAAAGUUGAGAGAUGAUACCCAAUUCAAGAAAGCUUGAUCAGGUCAAUGAUAUGACCAGGAACCGGGCUUCCCCCAUCCCACUCUGCCUUCUCCAGGGUCAAUUUUGCCCUAAGACCAGCCUCCAUCAUGCUUGCAAGACGGUUGUCUGCAGUUACCAGGCCCAUGUGUUUUUCCCUGUGCAUCUAGUAGAAAAGUGAACGGGUCUUUGCCUCAAUAUUCCUGGCAAAAUUUUGAGAUUCACUCUGACUGGAAUGUCUUGGGUCACAUACCUACCACCCCCGCCAAUGAAUCAGAGGUCAAGGGAAGAGAUGUGCUGAUUGACAUAGCCUGGUCAUGUACUCCUUUCCUGGAGCCUGGAGAGCUGGCAGCUUCUGUGGAUCUCUGAAAUCCAGUUUUAAACCCAGGAACUAGGCAGACCUCCUUAGUGACCAUCAUUAUGAACAAACAGAUCAGGGUAGAGGGGGGAAAAAUACAGUUUUUGCAGUGAUAUGUUGGAGCCUGCUCAUAUCAACUCCAUAGAGCCAGUCGGGCAGAUUUCUCUUUAACUCUCUGUUUAAUAAAAUGAUGCUCAUAGCUAGAAGUUGACCAUCAUGAGAACACACCAUAGAAAUAAGCAAAUGCAACACAUCAAGGUGCUUUCUCCCCCUAGAGACCUGGUUGUUAAAUAUUUAUCGGCACACUGCUGCUUUGAAAUCAGACAGGCAUGAGUUUGAAUCCUCAGGUAAUCAAGUGAGAUAGCAAGCAAGUUAACUUCUCUGAGCCUUAUAACAGGGAAAAUAGCUCCCUAAUGAAUUGUUGUGAAGAUUUAAUGGCAUACUAUUUGUAAAGUUCUUAGGAGAACAGAUGGCACUUGGACGUCAAUAAGUCGAGAAAAUCAGGAGUCCUUGAGAAAGAGGAAGGAAACUGAAUGCUAGAGAGUCAAUCCAACAAAUGGCCACUAUCCCAGUCUAGGAUUUCUCCCAGGAAUGCACAAUGGCAAGGCAGACGUUCAAAAGAAGUUAAGUAGAUAAUAAACACAGAUGCACUAACAUACCUCGUAGCAUUGGAGAUGGAUUGAAGAGUCUGUAUACAGAAAUAGAUUUUCCUCCUGUGAGGUAAAGUCCUAAGCUGAAUAGGCUAAAAGUUACUUAAAAUACUUGCUUCCUAUAGUACUGAAUUAUUCUGAGUCCCUGAAUUGAGACCAGGACCCAUGUGUCAACCUUAAAACUUGUACAACAAUUGUGCAAGAGAAAAUGCACUCCCGCAUCCCUAUGCAUCACCAGAGGUAGGUGACGGUGACAUUUUGACCACAGACUGUACUAAUAACUAAUAAGCUAACUACUGCCUGGUCCUAGGACAAACUGUUUCAUACUCAUUUCAUGCUCACAACAAACUCUAUGAAGUAAGAACUGAUUACUAUCCUCACUUCACAGUUGCGGAAUCUAAAGAUCAGAGAAAUUAAAUAAUUUACUCAAGCUCACUCAGGAUAGGAAUUCAGGUCCCUUUCAGAGUCUGUGUUCUUAAACAUUGUACCACUCUGUCAGGUGGGCAAUAGCAAAUUUUGCAUCUGUCUAGCUCUCCUGGAGACUUAUGCAAUUUAUAGGUAGGCUCAAAAAUCAAAAGCCUUCUCCUGUUACAAUGCAUCCUUUAUAGAAAAGAAGAAAAAAAAAGAGAAAACUCCACCCCUGGAGCCCACCUUCAGAAUCAUUGAUUAUUUUAAUACCUUCCAGAAAGUGACAGAGUGCUAGAGUCCCACAGAUCUAUAUUUGAAUCCUGGUUCUGCUACUGCCUGCAGUUUAACCUUAAACAAGCGAAUUCACCCCAGUAAGCCUCACCUUUUUUAUCUGUAAAAUGUAGAUAUUGGCUGGGUACAGUGGCUCAUGCCUGUAAUCCCAGCAGUUUGGGAGGUCUAGGUGGGCAGAUCUCCUGAGGUCAGGAAUUCAAGAUCAGCCUGGUAAACAUGGUGAAACCCCAUCUCUAUUAAAAAUACAAAAAUUAGCCAGGCGUGGUGGCAGAUGCCUGUAAUCCCAGCUACUCAGGGGGCUGAGGAAGGAAAACUGCUUGAACCUAGGAGGUGGAGGUUGUAGUAAGCCGAGAUCACGCCAUUGCACUCCAGCCUGGGUGAAAAGAGUGAAACUGUCUCAAAAAAACAAAAAACAAAAAACCUGGAGAUAUUAUCAUAUUACCUGCCCUCAGGAUGGCUGAGACAUAAAUAGGGUCACGGGCUGACACAAAGAAAAUGUAGUGAAGUGUAAUAUAUUAUUAGCUGCUUUUCCCUCCUCUUUCAAUAUGACUUCACUCUUUCCACUUCCUUUGAAUAUUGUUGCAGAUGCUUAACAUUAGAAAUCUCAGAAUAUGCUUGCAGAGUCUUCUCUCUUAAUAUGUAUUAUUUUCCUGAAAUUCUAGGUUACCCUAUACACCAAAUAGGGCAAUUUUACAUAAAAUUUUUACUCUCUCUUGCCAAAAUCUUAAAGAUGUUUUUCCUGUUGUUGGAAUGGUGGAAAGAGAAAUAACAAAUCUAUUUUUUCAUUGGAACAUAUGAUCUUGUCUUUAAAAUGCAUUCACAUGCUCUUGUGGAAAGGGAGUAUAGCCUGUUUAAAGAAGGCCCUUCAGAGUGAGAAGUAAGGCCGGUGGCCAACUGAGGCUUUAAUGAGUUAGCUUAAGUACCUAAGCUAAUUAGUAAACCCGUUUCCAGAGAAAAGAGCUAAGAUAAAGAGAGGUAGCCAGGUAGUUAACAAAUGCCUCUGGAAAAAGUACAUCAUUGGGAAAUUAUGCUGUUGAUGAACCUCAAUCACUUUCUCUCCUAAUGUAUGCCAAGUUUUGGAGGGCACAAAAUAAUUUCAUUAUAUUUUGUUUUGCUGUGUUUCUCCUGAGCUAAGAUAUGGGAAGAAACUGGACUGCUAAUUAAUCAGAUCCACGAGUGUUAAUAACUAGGGAAGCCCAUGGAUUUCACCAACCUUCUAACAGACAGAAGCGCUCCUGCAGGAAAAAAAGAAGAAUGAAUGUGAUUACUCCUAGACUUGGCACCACAGCUCACUGGGCAGAAGCUUCCCCAAAUUGCAAGCAGAGCACCUAACAGAAAACAACCUUACAAAAUCAGACCUUCCAAAAAAGGAUGAGCAUCACUGCAACCAACCAGGAAGUAAUCAGAAGAGUUCCACAGGAAGCUUUUGAUAUGUGAGUUUAUACAUCUGUGCUCUGAACACUAAGUGAUCUGUAGGGAUGACCCUAGCCUUGUACUCUAUGUGGCACCAAUAUGAAAGUGAAUACACAACAAAGGCGGAAUUGGAGAGCAGUUUAGAAACUACUGCUGGACUUGUUUUUUCCAGGAGAUUUUGUUAGAUGGGAAAUGUGCAAUUAGAAAUCUUAAUAUGAGAGAAUGGUCUAGUAAAGACCUGCCCUUUUUGUAGGUUCUAAUUUAGUUACUAAGCUGAACCAUAUAAAAUUACUAUUUCAUAAAUUUAAAAUGGUCCAAAAUAGGAAACUUUCUGUGGUUAACUCUAAUAUCAUUUGGGAAUUUUGUAAAGGGGAUAUGAUGGGCUCUGAUGGACACUUUUUGAGCACCAUCAUGUGUCAAAACUCA
rnacentral:lncRNA from 1 species